GGAGGCAUAGCUCAGCUGGUAGAGCACCUGCUCCACACGCAGGGGGUCACAGGUUCAAGUCCUGUUGUCUCCACCA
rnacentral:tRNA from 2 species